GUUCUUCUUCAGACCACAAAAGCAGAACCUUUGUUUGUCCAUUGGAAACUAAGUGCAUAUCUGGUGUCUAUUACCAGGCGAUUGCAAAUGUAAACUCAGCACAGUCUGUGCUGCACUCCAGCAUCCUGCAGUUCAGCCACUAAAAGCUCCUUAUGGACUUGCCUCAUUUCCGAGCUGAGCAUUCUCCAGAAACCAAUCUCCUCCUUAAGUCCUAUUCAUUUGUUUGGCCACCAAAAUAAAUCUCCGGCUUUCAUUCACACUGCCACACGCAGGAAUAUGAUCCUGCACGCAGUUCGCUUUUCUCCUCCAAAUUUCCAACAAAGCAGCCUAAUCGUCAUCAUUCUUAGAACCAUCUAGCUUUUACCUAAACUCAAUGGUCUCUACAUGAGGUCCAUCUCUCUUUUCUGCAGAUUGUAGCUUGUUUGUUGGAGCUGUUCUGCAGCCUCCGCAUGAGCUCUGUUUUUCUCUUUUUAUACACAGUAGAGGUAUAGUGGUUCCCUACAGCAAUUGGCCUCAGGGACCCCCACACUUUUGCCCCAAACCAUUACAUGAUGACCAUUCCCUGAAGAACCAUGUCUAAAGAGAUCGUAUGUCUGAAGGACCUUCACAUAAGCGGUGAUCCAUGCUGGAGCAAGGCGGCCUGCAGGACGGAUGGAGCGGUGGAGCGGAGACUGCACUACCUGAAUACAAAUGAGCAAGGGGAGGGAGGUGGUGCCCAUCAACCAAUCGAAGUGGAGGGGGCGUGUACCACAGGCUGCAGCUUCGCAUCUACGCUGCAGGAGUUCAGACUCGCACUGCAAGGCGCGCACACACCCACACACACAUGCACGCACACACACACAUGCAGGCACGCAUGUGUUCUGUUUAUCAUAUGAUUCACAUAUUUUUUAUAUGUUUAAUACACAUUUUCUAAUGUAUUAUUACAAUGCAAUGGAAUGGUACAGUGCAAUACAAUUCUACACAAUAUGAUACACAGUAAUUCUACACAAUUCUACACAAGGCGAUAGUUUGUGAUAUAAUUCCAGACAAUGCAAUAUGCUGUGAUACCAUUCUACACCAUGUAAUAUGCUGUGAUACAAUUCUACACAAUACAAUAUGCUGUGAUACAAUUCUACACGAUGCAAUAUGCUGUGAUACCAUUCUACACCAUGUAAUAUGCUGUGAUACAAUUCUACACAAUACAAUAUGCUGUGAUACCAUUCUACACCAUGUAAUAUACUGUGAUACAAUUCUACACAAUACAAUAUGCUGUGAUACAAUUCUACACGAUGCAAUAUGCUGUGAUACAAUUCUACACAGUACAAUAUGCUGUAAUACAUUUCUACACAAUAAAUUAUGCUGUGAUACAAUUCACCACAAAGUAAUAUGCUGUGAUAAAAUUCUACACAAUGCGAUAUGCUGUGAUACCAUUCUACACAACACAAUAUACUGUGAUACAAUUCUACACAAUGCAAUAUGCUGUGAUACCAUUCUACACAAUGCAAUAUGCUGUGAUACCAUUCUACACAAUUCAGCAUGCUGUGAUAGAAUUCUACACAACGCAAUAUGCACAUAACACUGACAAAAUUUUACACAAUCUGAUACUUUUCCAAUUAAAAUCUGCAUAACACAGUAUGAUGUUAUUCAAUUCUACACAAUGUGAUAGGUUGUGAUACAAUUCUACACAAAGAAAACAUGAUGCAAUGCCAAUCUACAUAAUAUAAUGCAAUGCAAUAAUAUGCAACACUAUUCUGUACAAUACUCUAAAAUGUAAUUUUAUACGUCUACACAAUCUAAUUCCUCGCAAUACAAUUCUGCACAGCACAAUAAUCUGUGAUGUUGCACUUGCAAAAGAAUUCUACACUAUCGGACAUGCUGUAAUACAAUUCUACACAAUCUCAAUCUGAUUCUUCAUUAUACAAUCCGGCACAAUAUAAUAUCAUUCUAUACAAUAACCAUGCUAUAAAACAAAACUACGCAAUUAAUUAUGCUACAACACAGUUCUAUGCAAUCUAACAAUUCGAUAUGAUUCAAUUCCAUUCUACACAGUAUGCUGUAAUACACUUCUACACAGUGAGAUAUCAUGCACAACCAUUCUACAUAAUACAGUGUAAUACACAAUUCUGUGUAAUUUUAUGCAAUCUAAUGCUCAGCAUUAGCAGCUCAUCAUUAGCAUCUGGCUGAGGUCUUGCUAGCAUAAAUCUUGCAUAGAGCUGGCCCUGUGACCAGAGACUAAUGAUUUAAAUUAAACCAUUUGCAAGGAAAAAAAAAAUUACAGCUGAGAAAGGAAGAUUUAAUAAUAGCUUAAGAACAGCUAACACAUAUUUACAUGCCAACAUCUGUGCAAUCAACUCCUUAAUGUUUUGUGCUGUCAUGUUUUCUUUUAAAAGAAAAUUUUAGUUAUUACUAAAAUGGGUUUGUCUUUGAUGAUGAAACCAACAACAAGCUCAUAAACACUAUAAACUGCCAGAAUGUACUUAUUUUUUAUUAUUUUCUAUUUUUCCUAUAUUUUUUGUGUUCAUUUGAAGAGUGUAAUGUUUAUCCACACUUUGUAGAGGUUUACACCUCAAAUCACACUUUCCUAAAGCUUUAAAUGUUUUAAUUAGAGUGUGUGAACUUACUGCUGGGUUUAUUGGGAACUGUUGGUUCAUGUGAAGUUACAGCUUUUAAAUUGCAUAUGAGGGAUAAAAGGAACCAUGUAUGUUUAACUUUUAUUACUGUCUCCAUCCAAGAUAUCUUGCCUUCUCAUUAUGAAAAGAAAAGAUUUUAGACUGACAACAAAGGGGGGAAUCUGAACUCUUUACAGCCUCCAGACUUGCUGGGAUUUUAAAGGUCUUCUUCUGCUAAAAUCCACUUUUUCUUUUUCUUUGUGAAAUACUAUAGGUCUCUCUAAGUUGUAUAUGCAUGCUACAUAUGAAACUGUUCCUCAGCCUCCAUUGUCUGCAGCAGCUAGUAAAAGAAAAUAU